AUUGAACGCUGGCGGCAUGCCUUACACAUGCAAGUCGAACGGCAGCACGGGUGCUUGCACCUGGUGGCGAGUGGCGAACGGGUGAGUAAUACAUCGGAACGUACCUUAUCGUGGAGGAUAACGCAGCGAAAGCUGUGCUAAUACCGCAUACGCCCCUAAGGGGGAAAGCGGGGGACCGUAAGGACUCGCGCAAUUAGAGCGGCCGAUACCUGAUUAGCUAGUUGGUGAGGUAAAGGCUCACCAAGGCAACGAUCAGUAGCUGGUCUGAGAGGACGAUCAGCCACACUGGGACUGAGACACGGCCCAGACUCCUACGGGAGGCAGCAGUGGGGAAUUUUGGACAAUGGGGGCAACCCUGAUCCAGCAAUGCCGCGUGAGUGAAGAAGGCCUUCGGGUUGUAAAGCUCUUUUGUCAGGGAAGAAACAGCAGCUCUAACACAGUUUGCGAAUGACGGUACCUGAAGAAUAAGCACCGGCUAACUACGUGCCAGCCGCCGCCGUAA
rnacentral:rRNA from 1 species